rnacentral:rRNA from 1 species
UAACAAGGAUUCCCCUAGUAACGGCGAGUGAAGCGGGAAGAGCUCAAGACGAAAAUCCCCUUUCGGGGGGAGUUGUGGUCUAUGGAUGUUUUACUGUGUUCCGGCUGCAGAUCAAGUCCCUUGGAAUAGGGCGCCAGAGAGGGUGAAAGCCCCGUCCCCUUGCAGCACUGGUCACUAUAUGUAAGGCACUCCGCGAGUCGGGUUGUUUGGGAAUGCAGCCCUAAUGGGGAGGUACGCACCUUCCAAAGCUAAAUAUUCAGGCAAGAGACCGAUAGCGAACAAGUACCGUGAGGGAAAGUUGAAAAGCACUCUGGAGAGAGAGUGAAAAGUACGUGAAACCAUGGGUAGGGAACCGCUUGCACGGAACACUGAGUUGCCUGCUUUCGAGCCAGGUUGACCGCCCAGCACCAGUUCGACACGCCGGAAAAAGCCUACACGAAGGUAGCGACACCUCCUAGAGGAGUCGUGUUAUAGCGUGUGGGCAUAUACGGUGUGGGUGGACUGAGGACAGCGGCACCUCAUUUUAUGAGCGCUGGCAUAUCAUGGGCCUUUCCGGACAGACUGUAGAGACAGCAUGCUGACUAUACGGGACUAGCUGGGAGCCACCUAUGGGUGUACAGUGAAGUUGCCAAGGGUAGCUGGGAAGUGCUGA